rnacentral:rRNA from 1 species
AGUGAACGCUGGCGGUAGGCCUAACACAUGCAAGUCGAACGGCAGCACAGUAAGAGCUUGCUCUUACGGGUGGCGAGUGGCGGACGGGUGAGGAAUACAUCGGAAUCUACUUUUUCGUGGGGGAUAACGUAGGGAAACUUACGCUAAUACCGCAUACGACCUACGGGUGAAAGCAGGGGAUCUUCGGACCUUGCGCGAUUGAAUGAGCCGAUGUCGGAUUAGCUAGUUGGCGGGGUAAAGGCCCACCAAGGCGACGAUCCGUAGCUGGUCUGAGAGGAUGAUCAGCCACACUGGAACUGAGACACGGUCCAGACUCCUACGGGAGGCAGCAGUGGGGAAUAUUGGACAGUGGGCGCAAGCCUGAUCCAGCCAUACCGCGUGGGUGAAGAAGGCCUUCGGGUUGUAAAGCCCAUUGUUGGGAAAGAAAAGCAGCAGGUUAAUACCCCGCUGUUCUGACGGUACCCAAAGAAUAAGCACCGGCUAACUUCGUG